AGUGCGAUGGAUCCGCAGGCGGGAGACACCCCUUCAAUAGCGACAUUUUGAAUCACGCAGGUAAAUGCGGGAAGGUGAAUGUGUUCGAGUGGAACAAGCCAGGAUGCGUGAUCAAUGAGCUUCCGACCCUUCCGUCCUACUAUAAGUGUGCGGGAUGCUAAUGUACCGGCGGUGCGCGUGUGCAGAGAGCGAGAGAGAGAGAGAGCGAGAGAGAGAGAGAGAGAGAGA